rnacentral:lncRNA from 1 species
UAUCAUUUUAGUUUUCUUUUUGUUCAGUUUAAAACCUGCUACGUGCCCAAAUUGUUCUGUCUCUUCUAGCACUUCUUUAGCACUGGUUGUUGGUUCUUCUAUUGUUAGUACUAAGUCAUCUGCAAAGGCUUUCACUUUAUACUCCUUCCGACCUACUGAAAUUCCUUUUAUUUUUUCAUUUCUCCUUAUUGUCCUUAGGAAGACUUCCAGUACCGAUAUGAAUAACAAUGGUGAUAAUGGACACCCUUGUCUUGUACCUUUCAUAAUCUCAAUAUUUUCUGUUAUUAUGUCAUUUACUAUCAGUUUUGCUCUUUAUUCAGAGUAUAUUGCUUUUAUUCCUUUUAGAAAUGAUAGUCCAGUGUCCAUUAAUUCCAAAUUCUUUAACAUAAAUUCCCAGGAUAUAUUAUCAAAGGCCUUUUCUGCAUCUACAAAAAUUAACGUCGCCUGUUUUUCAUUUCUGGCAGUCAGAUAUUCGGUUAUAUUAACAAGAUUCCUUAUAUUAUCUUUCAUCUGUCUGCCAGGUAAAAAACCUGCUUGGUCCUUCUGAAUUAUUUAAUUCAAUAUUUUUUUCAGUCUGUUUGCCAAUAUACUCACAAACUAUUUAUAAUCAUUAUUUAGCAGCGAAAUCGGCCUAUAGUUCUUUACUUGGAUUUCCUGUGUCAGUGCAUCAUUCCCACCUACAAUUCCUCGGUUUGUGAACGUGGCUGGUUUGGGUUCCUUUCGACCAGUUGCUCAUAAUUUACUUUUGUUGUUGUUCAAAAUGGGUUUUUGCUGGUAGUGGGUUCAUAAAACUUUAAUAAAGCACAGGUCCCUUUCAAAAAAUUCAUUCUCACGUAUUCCACUAUAUAGUUUGGUGGGGUCCCCCACCUGGUUGUUUUGUUCCUUGCAGUCUUUUGAGGAAGUGUGUUGUGCAAGAACUCCAAUGCAGCUUUAAUUAUGCAACCUGAAUUUUCCUGUGUGUGACUGAAUCCCACCCCAAAACAGAGAUUGUUUGGAAAUGUCCUUUGUCAGAUGCAUCAAGCAUGAAUUUAAGCUUACAGUUAUAGUGGAUCCUCCAGAUAUGAACUUAAUUUGUUCCGGGGGUCCGUGCGCAACCCAAAAAGUCCGCAAGCAGAGGCACUGCUUCUGCGGCACGCUAGAGCUUUUCUGUGCACACGCGAGAGGCAAAAACCCAGAAGUAUACUUCCGGGUUUGCCAGCUCCCCGACCCCAAGAAAAGACCAGUCUAGAGAGGCAGGUGAGCAUUACAGCUAAACCCCAUGUUAUACUCUCCAGUAGCUAUUCACUCAGACAGGGCUAUUUUCAUUCAGCUCCUACAGUGUCCAGGGUGGGGGGAAUGUUUUUUACCUUUCUUUUUCCCCUUCCUUGCAGUCUUUCCUAGUAAAUAAUUGCUGGAAACAGAAGCUACAGAGCUCUCACAGAAGGAAGCUUAGACUUGAGAAUCAUAGAAUCAUAGAGUUGGAAGAGACCACAAGGGCCAUCGAGUCCAACCCCCUGCCAAGCAGGAAACAACAUCAGAGCACUCCUGACAUAUGGUUGUCAAGCCUCUGCUUAAAGACCUCCAAAGAAGGAGACUCCACCACACUCCUUGGCAGCAAAUUCCACUGUCUAACAGCUCUUACUGUCAGGAAGUUCUUCCUAAUGUUUAGGUGGAAUCUUCUUUCUUGUAGUUUGGAUCAAUUGCUCCGUGUCCGCUUCUCUGGAGCAGCAGAAAACAACCUUUCUCCCUCCUCUAUGUGACAUCCUUUUAUAUAUUUGAACAUAGCUAUCAUAUCACCCCUUAACCUCCUCUUCUCCAGGCUAAACAUGCCCAGCUCCUUAGCCGUUCCUCAUAAGGCAUCGUUUCCAGGCCUUUGACCAUUUUGGUUGCCCUCCUCUGGACACGUUCCAGUUUGUCAGUGUCCUUCUUGAACUGUGGUGCCCAGAACUGGACACAGUACUCCAGGUGAGGUCUGACCAGAGCAGAAUACAGUGGCACUAUUACUUCCCUUGAUCUAGAUGCUAUACUCCUAUUGAUGCAGCCCAGAAUUGCAUUGGCUUUUUAGCUGCCGCGUCACACUGUUGGCUCAUGUCAAGUUUGUGGUCAACCAAGACUCCUAGAUCCUUUUCACAUGUACUGCUCUCAAGCCAGGUGUCACCCAUCUUGUAUUUGUGCCUCUCAUUUUUUUGCCCAAGUGCAAUACUUUACAUUUCUCCCUGUUAAAGUUCAUCUUGUUUGUUUUGGCCCAGUUCUCUAAUCUGUCAAGGUCGUUUUGAAGUGUGAGCCUGUCCUCUGGGGUGUUAGCCACCCCUCCCAGUUUGGUGUCAUCUGCAAAUUUGAUCAGGAUGCCCUUGAGUCCAUCAUCCAAGUCGUUGAUAAAGAUGUUGAAUAAGACCGGGCCCAAGACAGAACCCUGUGGCACCCCACUAGUCACUCUUCUCCAGGAUGAAGAGGAACCAUUGAUGAGCACCCUUUGGGUUCAGUCAGUCAGCCAGUUACAAAUCCACUGAGUGGUAGCAUAGUCAAGACCGCAUUUUACCAGCUUCUUUACAAGAAUAUCAUGGGGCACCUUGUCAAAUGCCUUGCUGAAAUCAAGGUAGGCUACAUCCACUGCGUUCCCUUCAUCUACCAGGCUUGUAAUUCUGUAAAAAAAGAGAUCAGGUUAGUCUGACAUGACUUAUUUUUCAGAAAUCCAUGCUGACUAUUGGUGAUCACAGCAUUCCUUUCUAGGUGCUCACAGACUGUUUGCUUAAUGAUCUGCUCCAGAAUCUUCCCUGGUAUUGAUGUCAGACUGACUGGGCGGUAAUUAUUUGGGUCCUCUCUUUUCCCCUUUUUGAAAAUAGGGACAACAUUUGCCCUCCUCCAGUCUGCCUGGAGAAAUCCAGGCUAAGAACUGAUAUUGUGGAUACCUUUUUGGGGGAUCGAAACCGGGAAAGAGGGGGGUGAGAGUUUUUGAAUCCAAAAGGAGUAUAAUUUUAUGAUUUUUAUGUUUAGUUAUUAUGUUCAGUAAUUAAUAUAAAAAUGGGGAAAUUUGUGGAAGGGAACUUAGGUCGACCUUUGGAAAGGAUGUAAUGAUUAUAAUUGAUGUGUACAAGUUAAAUUUAGUUAAUUAAGAAGAACUAAGUUUAAAAAAAUGAUAUUAAUAUUGUAAAGAUAAGAGAUAAGAACUUGCUGAACUAACUAUUGGAAUUGAAACUAUUGAAAAGUCCCUUCCAAGAGCUCGUAAACCUUGUAGCCAAAACAUUCUCUGGUUUUGUUUCGCUAUCCCAAGCAACGGGGCUCAAGGUAUGCUGCAUUUCGGGCUAAAAGUGUGAACGCAGGAAGAUUAAUUCCCUGGUUCACGGAGCUGCGUUUCAAAGAAAACAAGAGCUCCGGAAGAAGAGGCCUGCAGCUUGAAGGCUGAAGCCUGCAUUCCACAAAUUUUUGUGGUAGAUAAGACGUCCUAUUGAAAUGCAUUGUUGCUAGGUAACGGUCCUGGAAAGUUACUGGCAAGGGGCUGGACUCUGCGUGUAAGCCUGGGAAAGCGAAACAAAACCAGAGAAUGUUUUGGCUACAAGGUUUACGAGCUCUUGGAAGGGACUUUUCAAUAGCAGCCUGAGUUUAGCUGCCAGGUGCAAAGAGCGUAAACAAUUUGCAGUUUGCUGCGUGAGAAAGGAAAAAAACAACUGUUGGAUUUUACAGUUUGUUUGACAUUGUGAGCUGGAGGCUUGGCUUCAAGAUGGAUGCCAAGAAAGGGGGGAGGUUUGCCUUGCCCACCUCCCUUAACCAAUGACAAUUAUUCAUCUUGGUCUGUAAAGGUGAAGGCCCGGCUGCAGAAUCAGAGGCUUUUAGAUGCACUUGAAAACCCCAUCCCUGCAGCACCAACCAGAGGUUGGGAGUCACAGAAUGUAAGGGCCAGGACUGCUAUAAUUCUGUGUGUCUCAGAUGAUCAGUUGGUGCAUGUUCAGCAUUUAGAAAAUGCGAAAGAGGUAUGGGACACGCUGCGUACAACGCAUCAGAGAGAUGCUGGUUCUUCAGCGUUGCUGUAUUUUGAGAAAUUGACCAAUCUGAGACUUGCGCCUGAUGGAGAUGUUCAAGCGCACCUGACAGAAAUGAAGUUUCUGCGUCAACAGAUGGUGGAACGCAAUUUUCGUCUUCAGGAGGAAGUGUUUUGCUUCAUGAUGAUAAACAGCCUUAGCCGCACCUACAAGGUUGUUGCCAGUCAGCUUGGUUCCCUACCGGCCGCGCAGCUGACCGCGGAGAGAGUUUGUGCUGUGGUCCUGAAUGAACACGACAGACUUGCUGCACUGGAAGAAAAAGACAGGGGGAGGGAAGAACAGAGUUCUAAUUCCCCACUGCUGAUGCUACUGGAGAGCAUGGUGUAGCAUUGAGUGCUGUCCGAUGCUACAAUUGUGGACAGACUGGGCAUCUACAGCGAAACUGUAAGAAGCCGCGCCAGUCAAGAGGAGCAAAGAGCAGCUCUACGAAGCCUCAGGCGUCAGGCAAAAGCCGUUCCAAGUGCCAGGUGAAACCUGCAAAGGCUAUGAUGGCGAAAGGAACCACGCCAGAUGUUGGCAACUCGUUCAUAAUUGACACGGGCGCAACGGUUCACAUGUGCCCGCACAGAGGACUGUUUUCGACGUUGAAGAAGCAAAGCUUCACUGUGAAACAGGCCAACGGUCAGGAGUUGGAAGCGACUGGAAUUGGGACUGUGUAUCUUGAGAGUCUGAACUUGACUAUAAGUGAUGUUUACCUGGUUCCAGAACUGAGAUUUAAUCUGCUGAGCGUGUCGCAGAUUGCAAAGAAAGGACUGAAACUGUCCUAUGAUGCUAAAAGCUGCAAGAUCUACAAAGAUGGAGAACUGUUUCUUACUGCCAAAGAGAAAGAUGGACUGUAUUUGUUGACUUUUGAUCAAAGUGAUUACAUGAAAUGUAAUUCUGCUGUUUCUAACGAAAUCUCUCUUGCAGGAGUGACCAGUGUGAGCACCAGGAAGGUGACUAAGACCAAAAAGGUCGACAGAGCAUUUCAGCGGGUGUAUGCUGAUGUGAUUGGUCCUCUAGAACCAUCUAGAGGCGGUGCAAAGUAUUACCUUUUGUGUGUGGAUUGUUUCACUAAUUAUUCUUGGGUUUAUAUGAUGGAGAAACCGCAAGAAACUUUAGAAAAGUUUCAGGAGUUUUGUGACAAGGUUAAAGGUAUGCAUGAUGCUAACAUUGAUUGUCUUUUCACAGAUGAGAAGCAAAUUUUUCUGUUGCAGAAGUUUCAGAAGUUCCUGGAUGGAAAAGGGAUAGACCACAAAGUUGCAGUCUCGCAAGAAGCGUGGAACAGGGGGUCUGUGUGAGAGUGAACAAAGAAUUGCAAAGGGGAUGAAUGCGCAAUUGCUGAGUUCACAUUUGCCACAUGAAUAUUGGGCCGAAUCGCUAGCGUCCUAUCUUCAUGUGUGGUUGAGAAAAGUCUCAACAGAGUUGGGAUGUUCUCCUUUUGAGAAGCUGUUCAAUAGAAAACCUUCUGUUGCCUAUUUUAAGGUUUUCGGGUCUCAUGUGAGAACAGAAGCUCCAGGUGGAGUAAAGAAUGCCAGAGGCAUUUUUGUGGGAUAUGAAAAGGGUCUCUACAGAGUAAUUUUGUCUGAAUCUGGUCAGGUGAUUCUCACAAAGUUCCUAGAGAGUGCUCCAAAGCAAGAGCGGAUAGUACAAACAUUUCCCACAGGAAACGAUUCUGAUGAUGAUGAUGAUGAGUUUGAUCUUAUUGAGUUCAGUAGUACUGAUGAUGACACUGAUAGCUCAGAGAGUUCAGUUGUAACAGUCAUUGAGAGGAAAUCUCACACAAUGGAUAGACCUUCACAGGUGAAGGAAGAACCACUGAUUGCUACUGGUUCUCAACAGAGUCCAAAGGUUGAACCAGUGAGCACAGAGGAUCAGAACCUCAUACGUAGGUCUGAGAGAGCAACGAAGGGUGUACCACCCAAGAGGUAUUCAAAGGCGUUUGCUAACCUUGCAUAUGUUGCUAUUGUAAACGACCAAGGACAGAUUCAAGCUGUGUCUGAGUCAGAGACAAAGGCACAACAGAGAGGUGUUAACCAAGGUAAUGCGAAGUCACACAACCAGAGAGGUACAUUGGUUAAACCAGUGGCGGGUAGUUCCAAGGGUGGAACUGAAACAACAGGGGAAUGUUAUAAAUAUAACAACUGUUUGUUUUCUUCUCUGGAUGACGCUUUGCUCGCAGCACACAUUGAUACUUUAGGGGGAGUAUGUUACCAUAAAGCACCAAUGCUGCAGCAAGCAAAGGCUCUAGCAGCUCAGCCAGCUGCUUGUGGCUGGAAAGCCAGGCAGGAUGUUUGUGACUGUUGCCAUGGGAACAAAGGGGCAGUCCAUUCUGUACUGAGCACCGGAUGUUAGCUCAGUGUGUGUGUGUCAUAUGACCCGUACUGGAUGUACUUGGGAGGAGUUUCUUCUUGCUGUUGUUGAGUGCAGACAUGAUUCUCUGUACUGAUGUAAGAGGCAGAAAUAAAUGAUGUAAAUAGUUUUCUGUCUGCUUCUUUCCCCUCCCUGGGGACACCAAAGGGGAGAGAGGAAGAACGGUGUGUUCCUCUCAUACAUCUGAGAAGAAUCGCCGGACCUCGCCUGCUUAUCAGCAGAGGUUGGGAGACGCGGGGAGGUCGACAGGAAUAUCUGCCGGUGCCUACGCUGUGGCACAUUCCUCUGACCCAGGCAGAAUUCCAACAGUAUGAAGGGGAGGUGUGGGGAAGUCAGAGAAUGUGGUUAUGAAAGUAAGGAUUUGAAACUAUACAUGUUUGUCUUUGUCUUUGUCUUUGUGUGUUUGUAAUGUCUAUAUAAAAUGUGAAAACCCAAUAAAAAUUUUAUU